rnacentral:rRNA from 1 species
AACGCGAAGAACCUUACCUAGACUUGACAUCUCCUGCAUUACUCUUAAUCGAGGAAGUCCCUUCGGGGACAGGAUGACAGGUGGUGCAUGGUUGUCGUCAGCUCGUGUCGUGAGAUGUUGGGUUAAGUCCCGCAACGAGCGCAACCCUUAUUGUUAGUUGCCAUCAUUAAGUUGGGCACUCUAGCGAGACUGCCCGGGUUAACCGGGAGGAAGGUGGGGAUGACGUCAAAUCAUCAUGCCCCUUAUGUCUAGGGCUACACACGUGCUACAAUGGUCGGUACAAUAAGACGCAAGCCCGCGAGGGGGAGCAAAACUGGAAAACCGAUCUCAGUUCGGAUUGUAGGCUGAAACUCGCCUACAUGAAGCUGGAGUUGCUAGUAAUCGCGAAUCAGCAUGUCGCGGUGAAUACGUUCCCGGGUCUUGUACACACCG